CCUCCUCUUUCCUCCCACCGAGAAAGAAGCAGGAAACCCUAGCCCGCUCGCAAGUGCUUCACCUCGCGCCAGGACUCGUCUUUUCCGUCCCUCGAAAUGGUGGAUUCUCCACGCAGGAGGUACACUCGUUCCCCAUCUCCAUACAAGGGCCGCCCUAAAUCAAGAUCUCAAUCUAGGGGUUUAUCCCGGUCCAGAUCUCGGUCCCCUCGGCCCAGAAUCCGAACAAGGUCGCGAUCCAGAAGUCGUGGCAGGAAUGAAGCAGUCAAUCCUGGAAAUACUCUUUAUGUAACAGGCUUAUCAUCCAGGGUUACAGAAAGGGAGUUGGAGGAUCACUUCUCUAGGGAGGGAAAGGUUGUUGGAUGUCACCUGGUUGUCGAACCUCGGACACGUGUCUCCCGUGGUUUUGCAUUUGUGACCAUGGACGCCGCCGAAGAUGCAGACCGUUGUAUCAAAUAUCUCAAUCAGUCAAUUCUAGAAGGACGGUACAUAACAGUGGAGAAGAAGACAUUGGGUCAGAUAUUUUGGCAGCAAUCAAAGAUGAUGAGUUCCACCUUAACUCAUACAGCUUGAUGAAUGGCCAGCCUAACAGUUUUCCAUGCAUCAUCAGAUCAACUUAACAUAGCAAAAAUUUCCAACUAAACAACAUCAGCAUUCAUCUUCAACUCUCACAACAACAACAACUAAUCAACGGGCAUUACCAACUCAUAGUUGGACUUAAUGUCAAGGAGGGGACGCCCACGAACUCCUACUCCUGGAAAGUACCUUGGUGUGAUUAGCACACGAGAUAGUCACCGAAGUGAUCGUGGAAGAUACCACGGAGGCUACGGCCGUGAUGACUAUGGUGGUGGUUAUCCUAGAUCUCCAAGAAGGUCACCUUAUCGUGGUGGCCAUGAUUAUUCAGGGUACUAUGAUAGUAGGUCUAGAAGAGAGCGAUCUAGGUCACCUUACUAUGACAGAAGCCCAGAGAGAGCAGCAGCAGGCUAUGGGCGUCGUGCAAAUGGCUAUGCUAGGUAGAUUCAGUUAUCUGAUUUUAUUAUUGAACCAGGUGGUCAGUUGAGUAGCUGGUUUGCAGUCAAAUUAGCUUUGUAUGUUUGGUGCGCGAGUUUUGGACUUUGGACUCCGUAUUAUGUGCUUUUGCUUCUUGUAGUUUUCUACUCUUAACAACUUAAGACCCCCUUUUAUUUUUAUUUUUGUUGAAGUGUAUGUAGAACAAGUUGGUCAACUUGGCCCUCUCUGCUGCUCGUGUAAAACAGAACUAUGGUGGUGUUGUGGA